rnacentral:rRNA from 1 species
GACGAACGCUGGCGGCGUGCUUAACACAUGCAAGUCGAACGGAAAGGCCCUGCUUUUGUGGGGUGCUCGAGUGCGAACGGGUGAGUAACACGUAAGUAACCUGCCCUUGACUUUGGGAUAACUUCAGGAAACUGGGGCUAAUACCGGAUAGGAGCUCCUGCUGCAUGGUGGGGGUUGGAAAGUUUCGGCGGUUGGGGAUGGACUCGCGGCUUAUCAGCUUGUUGGUGGGGUAGUGGCUUACCAAGGCUUUGACGGGUAGCCGGCCUGAGAGGGUGACCGGCCACAUUGGGACUGAGAUACGGCCCAGACUCCUACGGGAGGCAGCAGUGGGGAAUAUUGCACAAUGGGCGGAAGCCUGAUGCAGCAACGCCGCGUGCGGGAUGACGGCCUUCGGGUUGUAAACCGCUUUCGCCUGUGACGAAGCGUGAGUGACGGUAAUGGGUAAAGAAGCACCGGCUAACUACGUG